rnacentral:rRNA from 1 species
AGGACGAACGCUGGCGGCGUGCUUAACACAUGCAAGUCGAGCGGUAAGGCCUUUCGGGGUACACGAGCGGCGAACGGGUGAGUAACACGUGGGUGAUCUGCCCUGCACUUCGGGAUAAGCCUGGGAAACUGGGUCUAAUACCGGAUAUGACCUCCUAUCGCAUGGUGGGUGGUGGAAAGAUUUAUCGGUGCAGGAUGGGCCCGCGGCCUAUCAGCUUGUUGGUGGGGUAAUGGCCUACCAAGGCGACGACGGGUAGCCGACCUGAGAGGGUGACCGGCCACACUGGGACUGAGACACGGCCCAGACUCCUACGGGAGCAGCAGUGGGGAAUAUUGCACAAUGGG